UGCAUAGAUAAUAUACCGUGGGAAAAGGUACUGAGUCAGUGUGUGGGGGUACAGGUUAGUAGAGGUACUCUGUACAUGUAGGUGGGGGUGAAGGGACUAUACAUAGAUAAUAUACCGUGGGAAAAGGUACUGAGUCAGUGUGUGGGGGUACAGGUUAGUAGAGGUACUCUGUACAUGUAGGUGGGGGUGAAGGGACUAUGCAUAGAUAAUAUACUGUGGGAAAAGGUACUGAGUCAGUGUGUGGGGGUACAGGUUAGUAGAGGUACUCUGUACAUGUAGGUGGGGGUGAAGGGACUAUGCAUAGAUAAUAUACUGUGGGAAAAGGUACUGAGUCAGUGUGUGGGGGUACAGGUUAGUAGAGGUACUCUGUACAUGUAGGUGGGGGUGAAGGGACUAUGCAUAGAUAAUAUACUGUGGGAAAAGGUACUGAGUCAGUGUGUGGGGGUACAGGUUAGUAGAGGUACUCUGUACAUGUAGGUGGGGGUGAAGGGACUAUGCAUAGAUAAUAUACUGUGGGAAAAGGUACUGAGUCAGUGUGUGGGGGUACAGGUUAGUAGAGGUACUCUGUACAUGUAGGUGGGGGUGAAGGGACUAUGCAUAGAUAAUAUACUGUGGGAAAAGGUACUGAGUCAGUGUGUGGGGGUACAGGUUAGUAGAGGUACUCUGUACAUGUAGGUGGGGGUGAAGGGACUAUGCAUAGAUAAUAUACUGUGGGAAAAGGUACUGAGUCAGUGUGUGGGGGUACAGGUUAGUAGAGGUACUCUGUACAUGUAGGUGGGGGUGAAGGGACUAUGCAUAGAUAAUAUACUGUGGGAAAAGGUACUGAGUCAGUGUGUGGGGGUACAGGUUAGUAGAGGUACUCUGUACAUGUAGGUGGGGGUGAAGGGACUAUGCAUAGAUAAUAUACCGUGGGAAAAGGUACUGAGUCAGUGUGUGGGGGUACAGGUUAGUAGAGGUACUCUGUACAUGUAGGUGGGGGUGAAGGGACUAUGCAUAGAUAAUAAACAGUGAGUAGCAGCAGUGUAAAAACAAAGGGGGGGUCAAUGUAAACAGUCCGGUGGUUAUCAGACUUGGUGCUCGGGUACCGCUUGUCGUACGGUAGCAGAGAAAACAGUCUAUGACCUGGGUGACUGGAGUCUCUGACAGUUUUAUUGGCUUUCUUCUGACACCGCCUGUUUCAAAGGUCCUGGAUGGCAGGAAGCUAUGGCCCCAGUGAUGUACUGGGCCGUUCGCACUACCCUCUGUAGCGCCUUACGGUCGGAUGUCGAGAAAUUGUCUCUGGUUCUGUGAUUUUAACAGUCAGCACUCAUUAGAUCUCAUGUUAGUAGGCAGCUCUGUUGAUUGUGUUGUCAGGUCUGGGGGGCAGUGAGG